rnacentral:rRNA from 1 species
GGAAUCUUGCGCAAUGGGCGAAAGCCUGACGCAGCAACGCCGCGUGCGGGAAGAAGGCCUUCGGGCUGUAAACCGCUUUCAGCAGGGACGAAACUGACGGUACCUGUAGAAGAAGGAGCGGCCAACUAUGUGCCAGCAGCCGCGGUGACACAUAGGCUCCAAGCGUUGUCCGGAUUCAUUGGGCGUAAAGAGCUCGUAGGCGGUCGUGUAAGUCGGGUGUGAAAACUCUGGGCUCAACCCAGAGACGCCACCCGAUACUGCUCUGACUCGAGUUCGGCAGGGGAGUGGGGAAUUCCUCGUGUAGCGGUGAAAUGCGCAGAUAUGAGGAGGAACACCGGUGGCGAAGGCGCCACUCUGGGCCGAUACUGACGCUGAGGAGCGAAAGCACGGGUAGCAAACAGGAUUAGAUACCCUGGUAGUCCGUGCCGUAAACGGUGGGCACUAGGUGUGGGAUUCAACUAACGGAUUCCGCGCCGUCGCUAACGCAUUAAGUGCCCCGCCUGGGGAGUACGGUCGCAAGACUAAAACUCAAAGGAAUUGACGGA